GGCAGUAUGGUGUAAUGUUGCACACAGGGCUUUCUUGAAACAUUUGAAGCAUCCUUAAUCCCGAGGUCCUUGUUCGAACCAAGGUACUGCCC